GUAUCUGACACACAGAUACGCACACCUUGACACACAGUGUGUAUCUCUGUGUGUGUGUGUAUGUAUGUAUCUAUUUAUCUAUCUGUGUGUCAAUGUGUGUGUAUCUGUGUUUCAAAGUGUGUGUAUCUGUGUUUGUAUGUGUCUGUGUAUCAAGGUGUGUGUAUCUGUGUUUGUAUGUGCCAGUGUGUAUGAAUCUGACACACACACACACUUGCACAUAGUGGCACACAGAUACAAACACUGACACAGAUACACACACCUUGACACAAGGGGUCCAGUGAGGCUGCUGAGCAGCUGGCGUGCGGG